UCGAGCGAGACCAGUCCUUCGGAACUGGGGAAAGCGGCGAACGGGUGAGUAACACGUGGGUAAUCUGCCCUCGGCACUGGGAUAGCCCGGGGAAACCCGGAUUAAUACCGGAUAGCCUUUCGAGCCUUCGGGCUCGUCAGAAAAGGUGGCUUCGGCUUCCGGCUGAGGAUGAGCCCGCGGCGGAUUAGCUUGUUGGUGAGGUAAUGGCUCACCAAGGCUCCGAUCUGUAGCUGGUCUGAGAGGACGAUCAGCCACACUGGGACUGAGACACGGCCCAGACUCCUACGGGAGGCAGCAGUAGGGAAUCUUGCGCAAUGGGCGAAAGCCUGACGCAGCGACGCCGCGUGCGGGAAGAAGGCCUUCGGGUUGUAAACCGCUUUCAGGAGGGACGAAGCCACUCGGGUUAAUAGCCCAGAGGGUGACGGUACCUCCAGAAGAAGCCCCGGCUAACUACGUGCCAGCAGCCGCGGUAAUACGUAGGGGGCAAGCGUUG
rnacentral:rRNA from 1 species